rnacentral:rRNA from 1 species
UACGUAGGGGGCUAGCGUUGUCCGGAAUCAUUGGGCGUAAAGCGCGUGUAGGCGGUUCGGUAAGUCCGCUGUGAAAGCCGGGGGCUCAACCCUCGAACGCCGGUGGAUACUGUCGGGCUUGAGUACGGAAGAGGCGAGUGGAAUUCCUGGUGUAGCGGUGAAAUGCGCAGAUAUCAGGAGGAACACCAAUUGCGAAGGCAGCUCGCUGGGACGUUACUGACGCUGAGACGCGAAAGCGUGGGGAGCAAACAGG